rnacentral:rRNA from 1 species
GAUGAACGCUGGCGGCGUGCCUAAUACAUGCAAGUCGAGCGAAGCGGGGACAGGGGAGUAACACGUGGAUAACCUACUAUACGACUGUGAUAACUUCGGGAAACCGGAGCUAAACCGGAUACUUAUAGAUGUAUCCGCGCUGCAUUAGCUAGUUGGUAAGGUAACGUGUUACCAAGGCAACGAUGCCUAGCCGACCUGAGAGGGUGAUGGGCGACACUGGAACGGAUACACGUUCUAGACUCCGACGCGAGGCAGCAGUAGGGAAGCUGCCGCAAGGGGCGAAAGCCUGACGGGGAAACGCCGCGUGAGUGAUGAAGGUCUUCGGAUCGUAAAAAUCUGUUAUGAGGGAAGCGGUACCUAAUCAGAAAGCCACGGCUAACUACGUGCCAGCAGCCGCGGUAAUUC